rnacentral:rRNA from 1 species
UAGGGAAUUUUGCGCAAUGGACGAAAGUCUGACGCAGCAACUCCGCGUGAGGGAUGAAGGUCUUCGGAUUGUAAACCUCUGUUAACAGGGAAGAAAAGCUUGGUGAAGAGCCAAGUAUGACGGUACCUGUUGAGGAAGCACCGGCUAACUACGUGCCAGCAGCCGCGGUAAUACGUAGGGUGCAAGCGUUAUUCGGAAUUACUGGGUGUAAAGGGAGUGUAGGCGGGAGAGUAAGUUAGGAGUGAAAUGUACGGGCUCAACCUGUAACGUGCUUUUAAUACUGCUUUUCUUGAGUAUUGGAGAGGUAAAUGGAAUUCCUGGUGUAGCGGUGGAAUGCGUAGAUAUCAGGAAGAACACCAGUUGCGAAGGCGGUUUACUGGCCAAAUACUGACGCUGAGGCUCGAAAGGUAGGGGAGCAAACAGG